UCUGGCGGCAAUAGCGAGUGGGAACCACCCGAUCCCUUUUCGAACUCGGAAGUGAAAACACUCAGCGCCGAUGGUAGUGUGGGGUUUCCCCAUGUGAGAGUAGGACACCGCCAGGA
rnacentral:rRNA from 1 species